UAGUCCACGCCGUAAACGAUGUCUACUAGCCGUAGGGUUCCUUGAGGACUUUGUGGCGCAGCUAACGCACUAAGUAGACCGCCUGGGGAGUACGGCCGCAAGGUUAAAACUCAAAUGAAUUGACGGGGGCCCGCACAAGCGGUGGAGCAUGUGGUUUAAUUCGAUGCAACGCGAAGAACCUUACCAGGUCUUGACAUACAGUGAACUUAGCAGAGAUGCUUUGGUGCCUUCGGGAACACUGAUACAGGUGCUGCAUGGCUGUCGUCAGCUCGUGUCGUGAGAUGUUGGGUUAAGUCCCGUAACGAGCGCAACCCUUAUUCUUAGUUGCCAGCACAUAAUGGUGGGGACUCUAGGAAGACUGCCGGCGUAAGCCGUGAGGAAGGUGGGGACGACGUCAAAUCAUCAUGGCCUUUAUGCCUAGGGCUACACACGUGCUACAAUGGUGCAUACAGCGGGUAGCGAAAUCGCGAGGUGGAGCUAAUCUUGUAAAGUGCAUCCC
rnacentral:rRNA from 1 species